rnacentral:rRNA from 1 species
CCUACGGGUGGCAGCAGUGGGGGAUAUUGCACAAUGGGGGAAACCCUGAUGCAGCGACGCCGCGUGUGGGAAGACGGUCCUCUGGAUUGUAAACCACUGUUCCCAGGGACGAAGAUGACGGUACCUGGGGAGGAAGCUCGGGCUAACUACGUCCCAGCAGCCGCGGUAAUACGUAGGGAGCGAGCGUUGUCCGGAAUUACUGGGUGUAAAGGGCGCGUAGGCGGGGAUGCAAGUUGGGUGUCAAAACUACCGGCUCAACUGGUAGUCGCACUCAAAACUGCAGCUCUUGAGUGAAGUAGAGGCAGGCGGAAUUCCUAGUGUAGCGGUGAAAUGCGUAGAUAUUAGGAGGAACACCAGUGGCGAAGGCGGCCUGCUGAGCUUUUACUGACGUUGAGGCUCGAAAGUGUGGGGAGCAAACAGGAUUAAAUACCCCAGUAGUC